rnacentral:rRNA from 1 species
UACGGGGGGAGCAAGCGUUGUUCGGAUUUACUGGGCGUAAAGGGCGCGUAGGCGGCCACCGCAAGUCGGUUGUGAAAUCUCCGGGCUUAACCCGGAAAGGUCAAUCGAUACUGCGGGCUAGAGUGCAGAAGGGGCAACUGGAAUUCUCGGUGUAGCGGUGAAAUGCGUAGAUAUCGAGAGGAACACCUGCGGCGAAGGCGGGUUGCUGGGCUGACACUGACGCUGAAGCGCGAAAGCUAGGGGAGCGAACGGG